AAACUGAAGAGUUUGAUCCUGGCUCAGAUUGAACGCUGGCGGCAUGCCUUACACAUGCAAGUCGAACGGCAGCACGGAGCUUGCUCUGGUGGCGAGUGGCGAACGGGUGAGUAAUAUAUCGGAACGUACCCUAGAGUGGGGGAUAACGUAGCGAAAGUUACGCUAAUACCGCAUACGAUCUAAGGAUGAAAGUGGGGGAUCGCAAGACCUCAUGCUCGUGGAGCGGCCGAUAUCUGAUUAGCUAGUUGGUAGGGUA
rnacentral:rRNA from 2 species